UACGUAGGGUGCAAGCGUUGUCCGGAAUUAUUGGGCGUAAAGAGCUCGUAGGCGGUCUGUCGCGUCGGCUGUGAAAACCCGGAGCUCAACUCCGGGCCUGCAGUCGAUACGGGCAGACUGGAGUUCGGCAGGGGGGACUGGAAUUCCUGGUGUAGCGGUGAAAUGCGCAGAUAUCAGGAGGAACACCGGUGGCGAAGGCGGGUCUCUGGGCCGUUACUGACGCUGAGGAGCGAAAGCGUGGGGAGCGAACAGG
rnacentral:rRNA from 1 species